rnacentral:rRNA from 1 species
AGAGUUUGAUCCUGGCUCAGAUUGAACGCUGGCGGCGUGCUUAACACAUGCAAGUCGAACGUGAAAGUCCUUCGGGGCGAGUAAAGUGGCGCACGGGUGAGUAACGCGUGGAUAAUCUACCCUUAAGAUGGGGAUAACGGCUGGAAACGGUCGCUAAUACCGAAUACGCUCCCGAUUUUAUCAUUGGGGGGAAAGAUGGCCUCUGCUUGCAAGCUAUCGCUUAAGGAUGAGUCCGCGUCCCAUUAGCUAGUUGGCGGGGUAACGGCCCACCAAGGCAACGAUGGGUAGCCGGUCUGAGAGGAUGACCGGCCACGCUGGAACUGGAACACGGUCCAGACUCCUACGGGAGGCAGCAGUGGGGAAUAUUGCGCAAUGGGCGAAAGCCUGACGCAGCGACGCCGCGUGAGGGAUGAAGGUUCUCGGAUCGUAAACCUCUGUCAGGGGGGAAGAAACCCCCUCGUGUGAAUAAUGCGAGGGCUUGACGGUACCCCCAAAGGAAGCACCGGCUAACUCCGUGCCAGCAGCCGCGGUAAUACGGAGGGUGCAAGCGUUAAUCGGAAUCACUGGGCGUAAAGCGCACGUAGGCGGCUUGGUAAGUCAGGGGUGAAAUCCCACAGCCCAACUGUGGAACUGCCUUUGAUACUGCCAGGCUUGAGUACCGGAGAGGGUGGCGGAAUUCCAGGUGUAGGAGUGAAAUCCGUAGAUAUCUGGAGGAACACCGGUGGCGAAGGCGGCCACCUGGACGGUAACUGACGCUGAGGUGCGAAAGCGUGGGUAGCAAACAGGAUUAGAUACCCUGUAGUCCACGCUGUAAACGAUGGGUGCUGGGUGCUGGGAUGUAUGUCUCGGUGCCGUAGCUAACGCGAUAAGCACCCCGCCUGGGGAGUACGGUCGCAAGGCUGAAACUCAAAGAAAUUGACGGGGGCCCGCACAGCGGUGGAGU